CAGUCGCCGCGGUAAUACAUAGGGUGCGAGCGUUAAUCGGAAAUACUGGGCGUAAAGCGUGCGCAGGCGGUUCGUUAAGACAGAUGUGAAAUCCCCGGGCUUAACCUGGGAACUGCAUUUGUGACUGGCAAGCUAGAGUGUGGCAGAGGGGGGUGGAAUUCCGCGUGUAGCGGUGAAAUGCGUAGAGAUCGGGAGGAACAUCAGUGGCGAAGGCGGCCAUCUGGGACAACACUGACGCUGAGGCACGAAAGCGUGGGGAGCAAACAGGAUUAGAUACCCCCGUAGUCCCUGUCUCUUAUAC
rnacentral:rRNA from 1 species